GGAACCCAGAGGUUCUGCUCUGUGCACAGUGGGUACGUGGGGUGCCCUGUUUCUGGCUCCCAUGAUGGCCAUCCAUCUCCAGAGAAUGAGGUUUGAAAACCAAUGGUCCAGUGAUUUCCAACUCUGGCUUUGGCAGCCUAUUCAGAAUUAUCAUAUUGUUAUGAAGGGGUAGGUGUAAAAUUCACACAAAGAUCUGGGAUUAAUUGUCUAUGCUCAUUCAUUUAUUCAUUCAUUCUUUCUUUCCACAUUUGCUGAGAUCCUUCCGUUUGCUGGAAGGAUGUAUUUGCUACAAAUGUGCAGGAGGCUGAGUCUUGAAGGUGGCCAUGAUGUGGUCCCUGUUUUCAGGAAUCUGCAGAAGAGUGGGGUGGGCCCUCUGUUCAUGUUGGCUGUGAGGACAGAUGAAUUCUGCUGGAACAGGGUGGAAGAGGACCUUGUGAAUGGGGUGAUGUUGACUCAAGAUCAUGAAGGACAAGUAAAGUUCACCGGGGACAACACUGAGGGGAAGCCACGAAUCUCUCCAGAAAAAGCCUGAUCUGAGAAGGCAGCGUGUUUUGUGAGGAUGAACAAGGGAUAGGACGGCCGCUUUACCACCUUAACGUUCAAAAGGAGGAAACACGCCAAAAUCACGGAGAGCAUCUGUGAUCCACGAUCCUUGAUGCAGACAUAGCAGAGAGUACGAGAAGAACGAAGAAAAAGAGAAAAGUAAGAUGCUCUCUUCGAAGCAUUUUGCUUUUCAUCUACC
rnacentral:lncRNA from 1 species